UCAACACCCAAACCCAGCGUGAUAGCUGCAUCCUCUCUUUGGAGUUGCUGCCAGCUCACACCUGCUCAAAACCCAGGACAGGACGUUCCUUUGAGUUGCUUCCAGUGCCUGCAAAGCCUCCACCAAACCACCAAUUCCUUCAGCUGAUAUUGAAGAAUUGAAGAACUAAUUGAAGAAUUAAUUGAGGAAUUAAUUGAAGAAUUAACUCCUGCACCCUGCAAAGCAAAAUUCAGGGUGGAGGGAUCUGCCCAGGGUUGGAUUUCUGCCUGCCAGACAAAAGACCUGACAGCAUUUGUGGUGAAAUAAUCUGCUCUGUUUGCAGACUGGAGGAGAAAUCCUUUCUGUA